rnacentral:rRNA from 1 species
GGCCAGCAGCCGCGGUAAUACGUAGGGUGCGAGCGUUGUCCGGAAUUAUUGGGCGUAAAGAGCUCGUAGGCGGCUUGUCACGUCGGAUGUGAAAGCCCGGGGCUUAACCCCGGGUCUGCAUUCGAUACGGGCAGGCUAGAGUGUGGUAGGGGAGAUCGGAAUUCCUGGUGUAGCGGUGAAAUGCGCAGAUAUCAGGAGGAACACCGGUGGCGAAGGCGGAUCUCUGGGCCAUUACUGACGCUGAGGAGCGAAAGCGUGGGGAGCGAACAGGAUUAGAUACCCUGGUAGUCCACGCCGUAAACGUUGGGAACUAGGUGUUGGCGACAUUCCACGUCGUCGGUGCCGCAGCUAACGCAUUAAGUUCCCCGCCUGGGGAGUACGGCCGCAAGGCUAAAACUCAAAGGAAUUGACGGGGGCCCGCACA